GGUAUCAUGACCGUGCGAAGGUAGCAUAAUCAUUAGUCUCUUAAUUGGGGGCUGGAAUGAAUGGUUGGACGAGAAAUUAGCUGUCUUAGUUUUGAAAAUUGAAUUUAACUUUUAAGUGAGAAGGCUUAAAUGGGCUAGGGGGACGAUAAGACCCUAUAAAGUUUGUACAUUAAACUAAUUAAAGGUGGUUUAGGUUUAUAAAAUUUGCCAUUAGGGAAGUGUUUAGUUGGGGCGAUUGGGAUAUAAGUUAUCUAACUGUUUCUUUGUUUUAAUCAAAAAUAUUUGAGUUUAUGAUCCUUUUUUAGGAUUAAAGAGUAAAUUACUUUAGGGAUAACAGCGCAAUUUUUUUUGAGAGUUCUUAUCGAUUAGAGAGUUUGCGACCUCGAUGUUGAAUUAAAAUUUC
rnacentral:rRNA from 1 species